CCCAGCCUUUCCUCCUGCCUGCGGCAGCCUGAAAUGCUAGAACUCUGUAAACUUCAACUUGCUGCUUUUGAAACUAAGGCUCUCUGGGACUUACUCCUCUGCCAGUUUGCUACAAUCUGGAUGCACGCAAUGUCGGGGAGGAAGACAAACACUGGCAUUGGAGUCAACUGUACAGGGUUAGAAUCCUGGCCCUGCCCUAUGAUAGCUGACCGUGGACUUGAGAUCCUCAGCCUCCUGAGUGCUAAGAUGAGAGGGUACCAACAUCUGAGCGCUCAAAGGUGGCAUUCCAGAGUCAGAGCUGAACCACACAGAAAGCAGACUUGGAAAUUUCACUUACUGAAGGGUCACCAUCAUCUUUUUCUUCAUGGACUGAAUUAUUUCAAGGAUCUUCAUAUCUGUUGGAAUGGG
rnacentral:lncRNA from 1 species